AGAGCGAACGCUGGCGGCAUGCUUAACACAUGCAAGUCGCACGGGCACUUCGGUGUCAGUGGCGGACGGGUGAGUAACGCGUAGGUAUCUAUCCUUGGGUGGGGGACAACGGUUGGAAACGACUGCUAAUACCGCAUAAUAACUGAGGUUUAAAGGCGCAAGUCGCCUGAGGAGGAGCCUGCGUACGAUUAGCUAGUUGGUGGGGUAAAGGCCUACCAAGGCGACGAUCGUUAGCUGGUCUGAGAGGAUGAUCAGCCACAUUGGGACUGAGACACGGCCCAAACUCCUACGGGAGGCAGCAGUGGGGAAUAUUGGACAAUGGGCGAAAGCCUGAUCCAGCAAUGCCGCGUGUGUGAAGAAGGUCUUCGGAUUGUAAAGCACUUUCGACAGGGACGAUGAUGACGGUACCUGUAGAAGAGCCCCGGCUAACUUCGCGCCAGCAGCCGC
rnacentral:rRNA from 1 species